CCAAUUGCCUUAGUAACUCGACUUGCUUCGGGAUACCGGAUGCCUCGUCCCGAUCGAUGUUCGGAAGAACUAUAUGAACUCAUGAGUUCUUGUUGGAAAGAAAAUCCUUUGAUGAGACCAGCCUUUUCGCAGAUCGCUCAACAGCUGAAGAAUUUUUUGCGAGAAGUGAAGAGGACAUAUACAAAUAUCACAGAGGUCAACGAUGGAGAAGCUUGAUGACGACACCCUGACGCUGAAGCAAAAACCUCAUUUUAUUUGAUUAAUAAUAUAGUAAGAUAACCGCGAGAUCUCAAAUAAGCGCAUAUAUGUAUAAGGUCUGAUGAUCAUGCUUAAAGGAAUUUUUAUUGAACCAGGUGCCGAUUAGGCUCAAAAGAUCAGAAUCAAUUUGUUUUCCUUUGUGGAGGAAAAUUUUCCUUUCAAUAGGUAAUGCGAAUCAAAGCAAAGAAUAAAACGGUGUAUCCUGUAUUAAUUACAACGCUUUAGUGGCUAAGAAAAAUGAUUGCUAUCACGUGAGUAGACUAGAUUAACGUAGACUGCAUUUGCUCAGAAAAAAUCUACGCACUUAUCUGAUGUAACUUGUAACAGUUGCUCCUUAUCAGCGCUGCCGCACGAGUGUUUCUUCGCUCGCAGGGAGACUACUCUUCUUCCGUGCUCUAGCCGCUUCCAGCGUGCUUUACAACAGAAUAGAACACAGUCCAGCCUUCUUUAUUUGUUAAAUAAAAGAUGGACCUUUUGAAAGAUAACGACUUUCGAAUAAAAAUUUAACUAAAAUCAGGGUUACAAAAAGCAAGAGGUGAGAAACUAAGAUACGUUCACUUACGGAGUGUGACACGCAACACAAGACAGAAAUAAUCUUCAGCGAAAUAACAUCCUA